rnacentral:misc_RNA from 1 species
AAAAAUUGUGAUAUCAGGAUAGGGUGAAAAAGCAAAAGAAACCGCAAAUAAGUAAAAGCAAAUGGGAGACUCAGAAGAGAAAUUUAUACAAUUGUGAUUGCAUGUUAAUUGGCAUUACAGGCAUCUUCAAGGAUUUUCUGCAAACAUCUCUAGGAAUUUCAACAAGUUGUAGUAACCGCUAAAUAUUCAUCACAAAUGUAGAGCUGUUUGUAAUUGAGAAAAAAAUGCCUAGGCAUUUCCACAAUAAAAUCUUGAAUUAUUGUCUUUUGUAUGGGAUAUUUUGAUCUUGUGGAUCUCUAAGGCCAUUUUGAACCCACUUAAUCAGGCCAGUGAUUUUACUUCUUUGUCUUUAAGGUUUACGCAGAGCAUCUCUUGGAA